CCCUUAGAUGUCCUGGGCCGCACGCGCGCUACACUGAGUGUCUGAGAUACGAGUCUGCCUGGUCCGGCAAGGUCUAGGUAAUCGCUAAAAGACACAUCAUGCUUGGGAUAAAUUAUUGCAAAUAUUAAUCUUGAACGAGGAAUUCCUAGUAAGCGCAAGUCAACAGCUUGCGUUGAUUACGUCCCUGCCCUUUGUACACACCGCCCGUCGCUACUACUGAUUGGAUGUUUAAGCGAGGUUCUCGAACUGCUAGCGACUUAGCUUCGGUGAGGUCGCAGUGUGGGAAGUGAACCUAGCUUUGGUGUCUAGAGGAAGUAAAAGUCGUAACA
rnacentral:rRNA from 1 species